CGGACUUUGAAGCUCAAGUUGUACCAGGUGUCAGGGGCCUGGUAAAGGCCUCAGACUUUUCUGUGAUGCCACAAAAGCAUCAUGGAUUGAGAAAAAAGAACAUCCUGACUACUGGAUAUUUUCUGGGAAAUAUAGGCAAAAUGGAAACAGCAUAAAAAAGAGCCUGUGUAACAUUCAAGAUGAUUCCCAACUUAAUACUUGUUGAACAAAACUCACCUCUUCUCUAGGGAACACAACAGAAUCCCCAAGUUAUAAGGUAGCAUCUGCCAUGUCUAGCAUACAAUGAAAAAUUAAUAGAUAUUUGAGGCAAAUGGAAAAUGCAACCCCAUAAUUAAAGAUAAAUAAGUGCACAGAAACAGACCUAAAAAUAAUCCAGAAAAUGGAAUCAGAGGAUAAAGACUCUAACAAUGCAAAACAUAUUAAAAGAAUUUACAGGGAAAGACAGAUUUACUGGGUAAAGAAAUAGGAAAUGUCAGGAGACAUAUAGAAACUGCAAAAAGUAAAAAUAAAAAAAAAGAAGGUCUAGAACUUAAAACUACAAUAUCUGAAAUAAAAACAUACUGAAUUAGAUUAAUAGCAAGUUGAACACAAUAGAGAAAAAGGCCUGGUGAAAUUGAGGUGUACCAGUAUAAAGAAUUAAGGCUGGGACUUCCCUGGUGGUCCACUGGUUGAGACUCUGCCUUCCAAUGCACGGGGUGAGGGUUCAGUCAGGGAACUAAGAUUCCACAUGUCUUGUGGCCAAAAAACCAAAGCAUAAAACAGAAGCAAUAUUGUAACAAACUCAAUAAAGACUUUAAAAAUGGUCCAUAUAAAAAAUAUCUUUAAAGAAAGAAUCUAGGCUGAGGUACAGAGGAAAAAACUAUGCUUUUAAAAGAGCUUCAAUGAUCUGCGGGGCAGUAUCAAGUGGUCUAAACAUGUAGACAGUAAAGAAGAGGAGAGAGAAAGGGGCAGGAAGAAAUGUGUAAAGACACACGGGCCAGAAGUUUCCAAAAUGGAGCAAAAACAGCACACCACAAAAGAGAAAUCUUAGCCACAAGAAAACCUCCUAUAGUCAUGAAAACCAAAGGUAACAACAAAACCUAAGAAGCAAAAAAGGACGUAUUACACGGUGAGCACAGUAAUCAGAAUGAAGGCAGACAGCUCAUCAGGAAACAGGACCAAACACAAAAAACAGCAUCUUCAAAUCACUGAAAGAAAGCAGAGGAAAAAUGGUCAACCUAGAAUUCUACUGACAACAAAAUUAUCUUUCAAAAAUAAAGGAAAAAUUUAAAAUCUCCCCAUGAAUGAAAACUGAGAGAAUCUGUCUGAUUGCAAGAAAUACUAAAGAAAGCUCUUCAAACUAAAGAGAAGUGAUGCCAGAUGUAAAUUUUAAGUGACAGAAAGAAAUGAAGAACCUUGGAAAUAGUGAAUUUAUCAGAUCAGAUUAGAUCAGAUCAGAUCAGUUGCUCAGUCAUGUCCGACUCUUGGCGACCCCAUGAAUCGCAGCAUGCCAGGCCUCCCUGUCCAUCACCGACUCCCAGAGUUCACUGAGAUUCAUGUCCAUCAAGUCAGUGAUGCCAUCCAGCCAUCUCAUCCUCUGUCGUCCCCUUUCCCUCCUGCCCCAAAUCCCUCCCAGCAUCAGAGUCUUUUCCAAUAAGUCAACUCUUCGCAUGAGGUGGCCAAAAUACUGGAGUUUCAGCUUUAGCAUCAUUCCUUCCAAAGAAAUCCCAGGGCUGAUCUCCUUCAGAAUGGACUGGCUGGAUCUCCUUACAGUCCAAGGGACUCUCAAGACUCUUCAACAUGAAAGACUACUUCUCAUAAUUUCCUUAAGAUAUACCAAUUAGAUAUAUUAUAUUAAAUAUAAAUACAGUUUAUGUAUACAAGUAUUUUCAGGAUUUGAAAUAGCUCAACUGGAAUUCCAUCACCUCCACUAGCUUUGUUCAUAGUGAUGCUUUCUAAGGCCCA
ensembl:lncRNA